rnacentral:misc_RNA from 1 species
GAUGAAGAACGUAGCGAAAUGCGAUAAGUAAUGUGAAUUGCAGAAUUCAGUGAAUCAUCGAAUCUUUGAACGCACAUUGCGCCCGCCAGUAUUCUGGCGGGCAUGCCUGUCCGAGCGUCAUUUCAACCCUCAAGCCCCCGGGCUUGGUGUUGGAGAUCGGCGAGCCCCCCGGGGCGCGCCGUCUCCCAAAUAUAGUGGCGGUCCCGCUGUAGCUUCCUCUGCGUAGUAGCACACCUCGCACUGGGAAACAGCGUGGCCACGCCGUAAAACCCCCCACUUCUGAAAGGUUGACCUCGGAUCAGGUAGGAAUACCCGCUGAACUUAAGCAUAUCAAAGCGGAGGA